rnacentral:lncRNA from 10 species
GUCAGCUACAUCUCGAGGGAGUGGGGUGGAGUGCGGGCGCUUGCUCUAGUCGAGCCCUGACAUCGAUUCUGCGGGGGCGGGGAGGAGUCGGCGCGGGGCUGGGGCUGGGAGGGGAGUUUAUUUAUUAGCCAGAUUAGCCAGCAUUAAUGGGGGAGCGGUGGCGGCCGGCGGCAGCAGGGACAUAGCUGGCAUAGCUGGCAUAGCGGCGGGGCCUCCUGCGGCGCGGGGCUCCGCGGCUUCAAAGGGGCUUAAAGAGGCCCUUGGUGGCACUGCCACGGCCCCGCGGGGGAGGGCGUGGGCGCGGGCGGCGGGGGAGAAGGCGGCCAUUGUGCACCGAGGGAUUAGGGCUCUGGCCUGGAAGGAAUUUUAAACUGCCGCGAGCCGGAGCCCCAGGACUCUCCUCCUGCCCCACCCCUGCCCUCCGGAGCACGCUGAGAAACACUCUGUCUUCCUGCUUUGAGGACAGCUGAAGUCUUGCCACUUCUUCUGGAUGCUCUGACCAUCAGUAAGAGACACGGUCUGACUUUGUUACCCCGGCUGGAGUGCAGUGGUGCAAUCAUGGCUCACUGCAGCCUUAACCUCCUGGGCUCAAGUGAUCCUCUCGCCAAGGCUAGGAUAAGUAGCUAGGACUACAGAUGCGCCCCAUCACGCCCAGCUAAUUUUACAACUUCUGUAGAGAUGGAGUGUUGCUGGGUUGCCCAGGCUGGUCUUGAAUUCCUGGGCUCAAGCGAUCCUCCUGUGUCCGGAAUUGGUGGGUUCUUGGUCUCACUGACUUCAAGAAUGAAGCCGCGGACCCUCGCGAGUCUGUAUCCACCAGCUACUCUUCCAGAUUCAUGAGGCAAGGCCUGCCUGCUCACCUGGCUGGCCCCAAGCACCUCUUCAACCUGUUGCCACCGUCCUGCCUUGCUGCCCUUCUCAGCUCAUCCAGCAGGGUCUCCAAGUCGUGGAAACAGAAGCACAUAUACACACAUGCUCAUAUGUACAUGCCCACAGUCACAUAAGCACACCGAGAAACACCAUCGCAGACAUGUUCUCACAAGCACAUGUGCAUAACACUCACUACCCCUCACGCGUAUACACAUUAAUACACACACUCAUGCACACUCAGUCUUACACACACAGACACACAGCCAUAAUCACUGUUGUUGGUUGAAUUGUGCCCCCCCAUCCCCACCAAAAAGAUAAGUUGGAGUCCUAACCCCCAGUACCUGGGGAUGUGACCGUAGUUGGAAAUAGGGUGUUUGUAGAUGUAAUCAAAUUAAGAUGAGAUCUUACUGGAUUAGAGUGGGCCUUAAAUCCAGUGACUGGUGUCCUUAUAAGGAGAAAAAGAUUUGAAAACAGAGACAUGGAGACACAGAGCAGAAGGCCAUGUGAUGAUGGAGUCAGAGAUUGGAGUGAUGCAGCUAUGAGCCGAGAAAUACCAAGGUGCUGGCAGCCCCCAGAAGCAAGGAGAGAGGCAAGGAACAAUCUCCAUCAGAGCCUCUGGAAGAAACAGACUCUGCCAACACCUUGAUUUCAGACUUUUGGCCUCCUUCACUGUGCGAGAAUACGUUUCUGUUGUUUUAAACUACUGAGUCACCAAGUCUGUGGUACUGUGUUAUGGCAGCCCCGGCAACAAAUCCAAUCACACACACACACACACACACACACACACACACACACACACACACACACACAGCUGGCUCCAGGCUCAGUGAUGAGCUCAGAGGAGUUCCCCUUGGGAGCUGCUCUUUCUCUGUCUUCCUUCCUUAGUGAUUGGUCCAGUGGAUCCACAAAAGCUCAUGGCCCAGAGCAGGAGCCCAGUCAUUUUUAAUUCCUCUUCCCUGGAGUUCUUAACCAUGCGUUGCCCUCAAAAUCUGCUCUCAAGAUUUGGGUUGCCAUAUUUAGGAGCACCAGAAAACAUACAGGAAUGCUGUGUCUGCUUGCAUCAUAUUAAUUAAAAACUGGAAAUAACCUAAAUGUCCCAGAAUAGGUACAUAAACUGUGGCAUAUCCACUUAAUGGAAUACUACUCAGCAAUACAAAAGGAAAACCUAGUGUUACUUGAGCAACAUGGAUGAACUUCACAGACAUAAUAUUGCACAGCACGAGGCAGACACAAAAGUGUGCAUAUGCUAUGAUUCCAUUUACAUGAGAUUCAAGAACAGGCAAAGCAGAUCUAUGGGGAUAGAAGUCAGAAUAGUGGUUACCUCUGGAAGGUGGAAUUGACUGGGAGGGGCUUCAGGGAACCUCCUGGGGUGCUGAAAACAUUCUGUGCUUGCACCGGGUGGUGGUUAUGUGGGCAUUACAUAAAAUUCACCAAGCUGCACCCUUAAUGAUUUGUACAAUUUGAUGCACAAAUCUAACAUCUCAAGAAGAAUAAAUUUUACAAAGUACCUAAGAAGCAAAUGACCAGAA